rnacentral:rRNA from 1 species
GGAUAACCUGCCCUAAGGAAGGGGAUAACCCCGGGAAACUGGGGAUAAUACCCUAUAGGUUACAGAUGCUGGAAUGCUCUGUAACCGAAAGCUCCGGCGCCUUAGGAUGGAUCUGCGGCCGAUUAGGUUGUUGUCGGGGUAACGGCCCAACAAGCCAGUAAUCGGUACGGGUUGUGGGAGCAAGAGCCCGGAGUUGGAUUCUGAGACACGAAUCCAGGCCCUACGGGGCGCAGCAGGCGCGAAAACUUUACAAUGCGGGCAACCGUGAUAAGGGAACCUCGAGUGCCUGUAUAUGCAGGCUGUCUGGGUGUCUAAAACACACCUAAAGAAAGGGCCGGGCAAGACCGGUGCCAGCCGCCGCGGUAAUACCGGCGGCUCGAGUGGUGGCCACUUUUAUUGGGCUUAAAGCGUUCGUAGCUGGGUUAUUAAGUCCCUUGGGAAAUCCGACGGCUUAACCGUCGGGCGUCUAAGGGAUACUGGUAAUCUUGGAACCGGGAGAGGUGAGGGGUACUUCGGGGGUAGGAGUGAAAUCCUGUAAUCCUCGAGGGACCACCUGUGGCGAAGGCGCCUCACCAGAACGGCUUCGACAGUGAGGGACGAAAGCUGGGGGAGCAAACCGGAUUAGAUACCCGGGUAGUCCCAGCCGUAAACGAUGUGCGUUAGGUGUAUCGGUGACCACGAGUCACCGAGGUGCCGAAGGGAAACCGUGAAACGUACCGCCUGGGAAGUACGGUCGCAAGGCUGAAACUUAA